UUGGAGGGCAAGUCUGGUGCCAGCAGCCGCGGUAAUUCCAGCUCCAAUAGCGUAUAUUAAAGUUGUUGCAGUUAAAAAGCUCGUAGUUGAAUUUCGGGAUUAGUACGUCGGUCGUGCCUUAGGUACGUACUGGUGUUACUGGUUCCUACCUUCUGACGAACCAUCAUGUCAUUAAUUUGGUGUGGUGGGGAAUCAGGACUGUUACUUUGAAAAAAUUAGAGUGCUUAAAGCAGGCUCGCGCUUGAAUACAUUAGCAUGGAAUAAUGAAAUAGGACGUUGAUCCUAUUUUGUUGGUUUCUAGGAUUGACGUAAUGAUUAAUAGGGAUAGUUGGGGGCAUUAGUAUUCAAUUGUCAGAGGUGAAAUUCUUGGAUUUAUUGAAGACUAACUACUGCGAAAGCAUUUGCCAAGGAUGUUUUCAUUAAUCAAGAACGAAAGUUAGGGGAUCGAAGACGAUCAGAUACCGUCGUAGUCUUAACCAUAAACUAUGCCGACUAGGGAUCGGAUGAUGUUAUUUUUAAUGACUCAUUCGGCGCCUUACGGGAAAC
rnacentral:rRNA from 1 species